AUUUUUCUCAAUGGGGGAAACCCUGAAGGAGCGACGCCGCGUGGAGGAUGAAGGUUUUCGGAUCGUAAACUCCUGUCAUUAGAGAACAAUGCAAUGAGGAAUAACUGCCUUAUUGUUGAUAGUAUCUGAAGAGGAAGGGACGGCUAACUCUGUGCCAGCAGCCGCGGUAAUACAGAGGUCCCAAGCGUUGUUCGGAUUCAUUGGGCGUAAAGGAUGCGUAGGCGGUAAGGUAAGUUGGAUGUGAAAUCCCGGGGCUCAACCUCGGAACUGCAUUCAAUACUGCUUUGCUAGAGUACUGGAGAGGAGAUUGGAAUUCACGGUGUAGCAGUGAAAUGCGUAGAUAUCGUGAGGAAGACCAGUGGCGAAGGCGAAUCUCUGGACAGUUACUGACGCUGAGGCAUGAAGGCCAGGGGAGCAAACGGG
rnacentral:rRNA from 1 species